rnacentral:rRNA from 1 species
AACGAACGCUGGCGGCAUGCCUAACACAUGCAAGUCGAACGAGACCUUCGGGUCUAGUGGCGCACGGGUGCGUAACGCGUGGGAACCUGCCCUUAGGUUCGGAAUAACUCCCCGAAAGGGGUGCUAAUACCGGAUAAUGUCUGCGGACCAAAGAUUUAUCGCCUUUGGAUGGGCCCGCGUUGGAUUAGCUAGUUGGUAGGGUAAAAGCCUACCAAGGCGACGAUCCAUAGCUGGUCUGAGAGGAUGAUCAGCCACACUGGGACUGAGACACGGCCCAGACUCCUACGGGAGGCAGCAGUGGGGAAUAUUGGACAAUGGGCGAAAGCCUGAUGCAGCAAUGCCGCGUGAGUGAUGAAGGCCUUAGGGUUGUAAAGCUCUUUUACCCGGGAUGAUAAUGACAGUACCGGGAGAAUAAGCUCCGGCUAACUCCGUG